rnacentral:rRNA from 1 species
UGCAAGUCGAACGAGCUUCCGUUGAAUGACGUGCUUGCACUGAUUUCAACAAUGAAGCGAGUGGCGAACUGGUGAGUAACACGUGGGGAAUCUGCCCAGAAGCAGGGGAUAACACUUGGAAACAGGUGCUAAUACCGUAUAACAACAAAAUCCGCAUGGAUUUUGUUUGAAAGGUGGCUUCGGCUAUCACUUCUGGAUGAUCCCGCGGCGUAUUAGUUAGUUGGUGAGGUAAAGGCCCACCAAGACGAUGAUACGUAGCCGACCUGAGAGGGUAAUCGGCCACAUUGGGACUGAGACACGGCCCAAACUCCUACGGGAGGCAGCAGUAGGGAAUCUUCCACAAUGGACGAAAGUCUGAUGGAGCAAUGCCGCGUGAGUGAAGAAGGGUUUCGGCUCGUAAAACUCUGUUGUUAAAGAAGAACACCUUUGAGAGUAACUGUUCAAGGGUUGACGGUAUUUAACCAGAAAGCCACGGCUAACUACGUGCCAGCAGCCGCGGUAAUACGUAGGUGGCAAGCGUUGUCCGGAUUUAUUGGGCGUAAAGCGAGCGCAGGCGGUUUUUUAAGUCUGAUGUGAAAGCCUUCGGCUUAACCGGAGAAGUGCAUCGGAAACUGGGAGACUUGAGUGCAGAAGAGGACAGUGGAACUCCAUGUGUAGCGGUGGAAUGCGUAGAUAUAUGGAAGAACACCAGUGGCGAAGGCGGCUGUCUAGUCUGUAACUGACGCUGAGGCUCGAAAGCAUGGGUAGCGAACAGGAUUAGAUAC